CUGGUGUACCAGUUGUCUCGCCAGAGGCAUCGCUGGGUAGCUAUGUAGGGAAGGGAUAAACGCUGAAAGCAUCUAAGUGUGAAGCCCACCUCAAGAUGAGAUUUCCCAUUUCUUUAAGAAAGUAAGAUCCCUGAGAGAUGAUCAGGUAGAUAGGUCAGAAGUGGAAGGCCAGUGAUGGUUGGAGCGGACUGAUACUAAUCGAUCGAGGACUUAACCAC
rnacentral:rRNA from 1 species